rnacentral:rRNA from 1 species
GUGAGGAAUAUUGGUCAAUGGGCGAGAGCCUGAACCAGCCAAGUCGCGUGAAGGAUGAAGGUUUUAUGAAUUGUAAACUUCUUUUGCAGGGGAAUAAAGUACGGUACGUGUACCGUUUUGUAUGUACUCUGCGAAUAAGGAUCGGCUAACUCCGUGCCAGCAGCCGCGGUAAUACGGAGGAUCCAAGCGUUAUCCGGAUUUAUUGGGUUUAAAGGGUGCGCAGGCGGGUUGAUAAGUCAGCGGUGAAAGUUUGUAGCUUAACUGUAAAAUUGCCGUUGAAACUGUCGAUCUUGAGUGCAAAUGAGGUAAGCGGAAUGUGUUGUGUAGCGGUGAAAUGCUUAGAUAUAACACAGAACACCGAUUGCGAAGGCAGCUUACUGGGAUGCAACUGACGCUCAUGCACGAAAGCGUGGGGAUCAAACAGGAUUAGAUACCCCUGUAGUCC